GGAGCUUGCUCCUUGAUUCAGCGGCGGACGGGUGAGUAAUACCUAGGAAUCUGCCUGAUAGUGGGGGACAACGUUUCGAAAGGAACGCUAAUACCGCAUACGUCCUACGGGAGAAAGCAGGGGACCUUCGGGCCUUGCGCUAUCAGAUGAGCCUAGGUCGGAUUAGCUAGUUGGUGAGGUAAUGGCUCACCAAGGCGACGAUCCGUAACUGGUCUGAGAGGAUGAUCAGUCACACUGGAACUGAGACACGGUCCAGACUCCUACGGGAGGCAGCAGUGGGGAAUAUUGGACAAUGGGCGAAAGCCUGAUCCAGCCAUGCCGCGUGUGUGAAGAAGGUCUUCGGAUUGUAAAGCACUUUAAGUUGGGAGGAAGGGCAGUAAGCUAAUACCUUGCUGUUUUGACGUUACCGACAGAAUAAGCACCGGCUAACUCUGUGCCAGCAGCCGCGGUAAUACAGAGGGUGCAAGCGUUAAUCGGAAUUACUGGGCGUAAAGCGCGCGUAGGUGGUUCGUU
rnacentral:rRNA from 1 species